ACAGUAGCCUAAUUAUUUUUACAGAUAUUGUAUUUACAUGUCAAUUCAGUAUCAGAAUCUCAGUACUUGGCAGUACUCACUCUCAAAAAAAUGAAAUCUCACUAUUGCUCAUCUUAAUGAAUCCUUUUUCGUAGGAUUUACACAAUAAAAUUAGGUUUCUAGGUGAAAAGGAGUCAGUUAUACGAAAUGCAUUCGUGUUUGGAGGAAAUAUGUCACUCUAUGGUCGCCGUAGAAGCAUUAUUUCAAAACGCACAAACGAGGGUCUCUGGCUGUGGCAGGUCUGCCUCUUCUCCCUCACUCGUGGAUUGUAAGACGUGGGAGUGCAGAGUGCAAGACAUCAGCGUCAUUGAGGUCUCUCUUACAGAAGCAUUACAGAUGUGCAGAAUUUCACACGCAUUGUGCAACUGAAGUCCAAGUUUAUGCCAGAACUUGACAUCUGCUCCAGGCUGUCUGCUGAGUGCCAUAGGAAGGGAGGAGAAACAAGACAUAAGAUUAAGGAGAUCAUGGCUGCCAUUGAUCGGAAUCCCAUCAUUGGCUCGUUGAGAGUUUGCCACCUGCAAGCACUUGUUGUGUACUUGAAGGCCCUGAGAAACUCAAAGGAAUACCUGAGCUGCCAGGACUGGUGUCAUCACUGAAAGCAGUCAUAAACAACAUGGCAGAUUCAUCUAUUUCCUCCAGCCAAAGCGACUCACCACGCACUAGCAGUGAGACUUGCAGUGAAGACAU